rnacentral:lncRNA from 1 species
CCCGCUCGCUGGCAGCCCGUCACCCUUUCCAUGGUUUAAGUGCUCAUCCCAGGGGCAGGCGGUGGGGCCGCUGCCCGGCGCUUCCCGCUUAGCCCUGGAUCCGCUCCAGCGCGCGUGAGCAGCACGAGCCCGUGGGGAGCGCCGGGAGGCGCCGCUCGGAGGGGCUUUCCAGCCACAUCCACAUCUGAACCUCACGGCGAGGCGAAGGCGUUGGGGAGAGGCCGAGAUGGAGAUCUGCUCACAUCCCAGAGCGCUCAGAGCGAUGACUCAAAGGAUUCCUGGCGUUACUGCACGGCGAGGUGCAGCGCGCUGCCACCGCCGCCGUCAGCACAACUGCGCUCCCUCGGACAGCUGCGAGUGCUC